rnacentral:rRNA from 1 species
UACGUAGGGUGCAAGCGUUGUCCGGAAUUAUUGGGCGUAAAGGGCUCGUAGGCGGUCCAUCGCGUCGGGAGUGAAAAGCUGGGGCUCAACCCCAGUCCUGCUUCCGAUACGGGUGGACUAGAGGUAGGCAGGGGAGAACGGAAUUCCUGGUGUAGCGGUGAAAUGCGUAGAGAUCGGGAGGAACACCAGAGGCGAAGGCGGCGACCUGGACAAGUACUGACACUCAACUACGAAAGCGUGGGGAGCAAACAGG